rnacentral:rRNA from 1 species
AAUAUUGGACAAUGGGGGGAACCCUGAUCCAGCCAUGCCGCGUGUGUGAAGAAGGUCUUCGUAUUGUAAAGCACUUUACGUUGGGAGGAAGAGUUGUAGGCUAAUACCUUGCAAUUUUGACGUUACCAACAGAAUAAGCACCGGCUAACUUCGUACCAGCCGCCGCGGUAAUACGAAGGGUGCAAGCGUUAAUCGGAAUUACUGGGCGUAAAGCGCGCGGAGGUGGUUCGUUAAGUUGGAAGUGAAAGCCCCGGGCUUAACCUGGGAAGUGCUUUCAAAACUGACGAGAUAGAGUACGGUAGAGGGUAGUGGAAUUUCCUGUGUAGCGGUGAAAUGCGUAGAUAUAGGAAGGAACAUCAGUGGCGAAGGCGACUACCUGGACUGAUACUGACACUGAGGUGCGAAAGCGUGGGGAGCAGACA